rnacentral:rRNA from 1 species
GUUUGAUCCUGGCUCAGGACGAACGCUGGCGGCGCGCCUAAUGCAUGCAAGUCGAACGAGGUCGACCCUUCGGGGUCAUAUACCUAGUGGCAGACGGCUGAGUAACGCGUGAGUGACCUGCCCUGGAGAGGGGGAUAACAUCGGGAAACCGAUGCUAAUACCGCGUACGCUCAUCAGUGUCAAGGCUGAUGAGGAAACGAAUUUCGCUCUAGGAUGGGCUCGCGUCCUAUCAGGUAGUUGGUGGGGUAAUGGCCUACCAAGCCGAAGACGGGUACCUGGUGUGAGAGCACGACCAGGCAGAGGGGGACUGAGACACGGCCCCCACUCCUACGGGAGGCAGCAGCAGGGAAUCUUCCACAAUGGGCGAAAGCCUGAUGGAGCGACGCCGCGUGGGGGAUGAAGGCCUUCGGGUCGUAAACCCCUUUUCUCAGGGAAGAGUAAGGACGGUACCUGAGGAAUAAGCAUCGGCUAACUACGUGCCAGCAG